UUUGAGACAGAGUCUUGCUCUGUCACCCAGGCUGGAGUGCAGUGGCGCGAUCUCAGCUCACUGCAAGCUCUGCCUCCCAGGUGCAGGCCAUUCUCCAGUCUCAGUCUCCCAAGUAGCUGGGACUACAGGUGCCCACCACCGCACCCAGCUAAUUUUUUGUAUUUUUUAGUAGAGACGAGGUUUCACCGUGUCAGCCAGGAUGGUCUCGAUCUCCUGACCUCGUGAUCUGCCCACCUCUGCCUCCCAAAGUGCUGGGAUUACAGGCGUGAGCCACCGCGCCCGGCCAAUUUUUGUAUUUUUUGUGGAGAUGGGAUUUCGCCAUGUUGGCCAGGCUGUUCUUGAACUCCUGGGCCCAAGUAAUCUGCCUGCCUCGGCCUCCCAAAGUGUUGGGAUUACAGGCGUGAGCCACCACGCCCAGCCAUUCCAUUUACUUUGGGCUUUCCUUCACAUCAGAAUGCACGUGUGGGCAGCUCCCUAAGCACCCACCCCUUAGUCGUUUACACAGAGCUCAUGCAGUGGACUCUGGGAGCCUCCUUUCCGCCUGUAAAAUGGAGGGUUCCGUUGUCAAUGUCACAGGGUGGCUGUGGAGACUAAUUGAGAUCAUCUGUGUGACUCCCGAAGCCCGCUGUAAAUGUAGCUGUUCCCAUUAUGUGACAGUGACCUUCUCACGUGUGGCACAGCCACCAAUGGCACAGUUGAAGGCCUGGGAGUUCUCAAGGGGACUAGGCCUUGCACUGAGCAGAGCAAGCAGGGCAUGCUUCAGGAGAGGUGGUUAAGGUCCCUCUUGGGAGACCAUUCCCCUCCAACUAGAAAGCGAAAGCUACCUCUCAGUCUGGGCCUGUGGCAGGUUGUGGCUCACUCUAAGAGUUCGUGGAACAGGAGGGGAAGACACUUUACCCAAACAUUCCAACAGAUGCGUUAGGUGUGUUGUUAUCCCCAUUUGUCAGAGGAGGAAACUGAGGCACGAGGGGGUAUACAAGUAUACCAAAGAGCACCCAGCUAUGAAAGGGGAGGCAGGGAUUUGAACCUAUAUGCCAUUUAUUUAGGUAAAAGCAAGGGCAGCCCCUUCUGUGGAGAUGCACAAACCUACGUGUGUGAAUAUCUGAUCCAGUGCUCCCUCCUCCAGUGCCGUGGCUGCCUGGCUCCUUCCCCAGGCCCCAGCCCUCCCCACAUCCAGAAAUCAUAAAGGCACAACAGGGGCAUCCAGGACCCUGCUAUGAUGGUGGAUGAAGGCCUAGACCAGGAGCCCAAGGCCGGGCUGGUGUCCCUUGCUGUGAUCUUGUGACUGCCUUCUCACAUGGGGUGGGGGACAGCGGCUGGGAGCCGGAGUCCAGGCUGGGGAGGCAGGCCUGCCGUUUGACACGUCCCCGUCCAUUCCAUGCGGACUUCCUGGGAAUGACCAGAGGCCUCUAUGCAGUUCCUGUUCCCAGCGGCUCACAGUCGCCAGGCCCAGGGAGACAAAACGUCCCUGAAUGCGGUGGGGCAGGGAACAAUAUGGGGCGGGCGGAGGAGGGCCACAGGAAGUGUGUUAGGGACAGCCGGAGAGCUGGCGUGGGGCUGGGGGUGACUCAGGGACUUGUGACUUGAUAAGGUACGAUGACUCUGAAGGAAAACAGCCGGAGUCCAGGGAGGGCGCCGAAAUGGUGGACAGGACGGGGUUUCUGGCGCCUGUGCGGACCUGAGUUCUUGAGUCCCCAUAGGUCUCCCUGCAGCAAAGAACCUUAAACAAUAUCCAACCAACCACGUUACAGUCCCUGGCUCUCUCAGGUAGGGAUGAUGAUCCUGACCUCACUAAAGAGGGGACUGAGGGUCAGAGAAGUGAGAUGACAUUCACCAUUCCAAGAUCACACAGGAAUGUGCAAUGGUGCCAGGAUACACAGCAGGCCAGUCUCAUUCCAGGGCAUGUGUACCCAGCUAGGCUUCCUGGCACUCAACCCUGACCCUUGUGGUCCCCCAAAACUAGACACUCCUGUAUUUGAGCCCAAAGCCUCUUACUGGGUCUUCACAUCCUUGCUUGCAAAGCCAGAGCCCCCAUCAUACCCCACCAAAGACCCCCAACGAACAGGACCAUUUUGCCAUUAGAAUUUAGAGUUUAAGAAAAUGUUUGAAACUGGGGAAAAGAACACCUCUUAGCUCCCAAAUAUAACAAGAAAACUGCAAGUUAAAUUAAUCAUCACAGUUAAAUCACAUUCACGAUGGGAUCUGUGGGUUUAAUAUGCCUGAUAUGGAGUGGGGAUCUCAAAACUAAGAGCGCCAGGGUGGAGGAGAGACUCCCAACAGCCCUGGCCAGGCCUGGCCCUGCAGCCUGAGCGUUAACACCAGCAGUAGUGUGCUAGGACUGGGAGGCUCCACCAGCUAUUAUCCAAUCAAGUCACUUCUCAGAGCCUCAGUUUCUUUAUUAGUCAAAUGGGACCAUAGUUAGCUAAUACUGGGUUAAUGGGAGGGUUAAAUACAAUAAUGUGUGCAGGGAGCCAGGCCCCAUAGUCAGAGCUCAGCUAUUGUUCUUGCCUCCUCAGGCGGCCCUGCCCAAUUUCAGGAAGUCCUUUUUGGCUGGAAGCUUCUCAGGAUGAAAGAAUGUUGGAGAGAGAAGGCCGUUAGAAAGAAAGCAGAGCCCACCUCCGCACCCCGACCCCACCAGAGUGCUGGCAGCAGAGUCCAGGUGGGGUCUCCCUAUGUUGCCCAGGCUGAACUCCAACUCCUGGGCUCAAGCAAUGCUCCCAUCUCAGUCUCCCAAAGUGCUGAGAUUACAGUCUCGCUCUGUUGCCCAGUCUGGAGUACAGGUAUGAUCUUGGCUUACUGCAAGCUCCGCCUCCCAGGUUCAAGCAAUUCUUCUGCCUCAGUCUCCCAAGCAGCUGGGAUUAUAGGAAGGGGCCACAAGCCAAGGAAUGCAGGCUGCCCAUGGAAGCUGGUCAAGGCAAGAAAACGGAUUCUCUCCUAGAGCCUCCUGAAAGGCAUGAAGCCCUGCCAAUGCUCUGAUUUUAACCUGAUGACACCCAUUUUGGACUUCAGACUCCCAGAACUGUAGGAAAGAUAAUAAAUAUGUGUUGUUUG
rnacentral:lncRNA from 1 species